rnacentral:lncRNA from 1 species
ACGUAAGUUCCCAUUUAUUCUCUUCUUACUAACUUACUAGAUAAUAAUAUUACUAUAUAUCAUCAAUAAUGAUAUUCAAUACUUGCACGUUUGUUGCUUACUACAGAAGCCAUCUAGAGGAGAAACAACCUCGAUUUCAUGGAGUGGGAACAGCUCUUAUCUAGCAUCAAGUUUUCACCCAAGAGCAACUGAAGAUGAGACAAGCAACAGUAUGAUCAUUAUUCAUAAGAGGGCAAGUGCUUCAAGAACAAAUGAGGUGCAAUCAAUUGAGAUGGAAGGCCGACCAAACCUAAUAGCAAAGUUUCACCCUGUUCAUAAUUGUCUUUUCAUAGCUAAGCGGCGGUGGGGAUUAGACAUCAAGGUAAAAUUAGCUCCCCAAUAUUUUUAUCCUCGUCGUUUGUGCACACAUUAAUUUGUUAUUGUUUCAUUAUCUCCAGAUCUUCUCGAACACAAUCACUGGCUUUGAAAAAGAAUCUGAUAAGUGGGUUCAAGUUGCUUCCUUGUAAGUAAAAUUUGUCAAGCUUAUUAAUUUUCUAAUCAAACAACAUGUCAUAUCCAAUAUUGCAUUAUUGUUGUAUAUAGUGAUCACGACGGUGAAAUAUCUUCAAUUAAUUUCAUCAUUUCAAGUAAUGGGUCGUCAAAAUCAUUUGCAAUUGCUAGGUAUGUUUUGCAUUAUAGCUAAGGUCUGUCAUUGUUCAUAAAAAAACAGAUAUUAUAGCAUAAAGGGAAAUUGAUUAUAUUUAAACCGUACUUCAGGGUUGAUAACAUAAUAUCUUUCUAUAAAUAUGAUCACUAUUCCGGAUCUGAGUGGACUCCUACAGCUAAGCAAAGGUAAUUUCUAAUUUAACUCAUGUUUAUCAUAAAGUUUCUAUUUUCAUUAGUUUAUUUAAAUGAUUUUAGGAGACAAAAUAUAUUAUAGACCAACUACCCAUUCACCAUAUAAUAAUAGCAUCCAUAAAUAUGAUAAGUUAACCCGCGGUUUGGUGAUAGAUGUGCCCCGAAAUCUAAGAAUUUGUGAUAUUUACUCGUAAUAUUUUAUAGGACUUUGAUAUAUAAAUAAUUGUUGCUAUUGGCAGAGUUUCUUUCCAAUACAAAGUGAACACUGGAAAUCGAUUCAAAAAAAUUCUUUCCAUGGGUUGCUACAUAGACUCAACUAUUGCAAUUGGUUACACGGAUGGUUCUAUUGAGAUCUUUACAAAGAAAAGAGGAAAAGUAUGUGUUUCAUGUUCUUCUUAUUUGUUUAAGAUAUAUCAAGAUAUUUUUUUUACUAUUUAUGUACUUGUUUACCUAAAUGCAGUAUGUUAGUGCUUUAAACAAGUACUGGGAGCAUCAUUGGUCAAAAGCUAAAUGCUGGGCAUCCACCAUUCCUUGCCUAUCCUGGCAAUACAACGUAAGAUUGACAUCUUAUUUAUUAGUAUUUUUAGCAUACAAUCAUGUUUUGAUACGUCAUCUCACCAUCAUCAUUUUAUUUCAGACCGAAAAGACUCCUAAGGUGCUAGCAGUAGGAGGGGAACAUGGUUUUGUUUUGUUCUAUGAUUUUAUUGAAGCGGGGCCUUACACUGAAAUACCAAACCGUGACUAUGAAUGGGAGACUAACUACUACAAAUGUCCUUCCGAACCGUAUGUACUAUUAGAAGUGAAAACAUUGUUUGUGUUUCUUUAAUUAAAGUAUUUAUCACUUUUUAGCAUAUACUGAUCCAAGUUUAUCAGGGACGAGGAGGUCGAGGAGGAGGAGGAGGAGGAGGAGGAGGAGCCAACACAUGAUGUCACUCAAGAGUUAAACUCACAAGAAGAAGUUGAGCCUGUGAAGGGUAUGUACAAAAUUGGGGUCAGAUUCACAUAACUUAGAUUAAUUACUUAGACUAAACACUUUUUUCUCUUCAUUGUAUGUGCAGAAACAAAAUUUGCUAUCUGUCAACAGAUUUUCUGUAGCAGAACAGUAAAUAUGGAAGAUAUCAAAGCCAUUGGAUUUAAAAUGGAGUACACACUCAUCAAUUAUAAGGUCACAUUUGAGAACCUUGCUUAUGUUGAAGCCAAAAAGAGAUUAGUAAAUGGAAAGUAUCCCGAAAAGGUACGUUUGAGUAAAAGAGUCAGUCAGUUGUAUUUUGAAAUUCAUUUGUUAAGUUUGUGAGUUAUUCUAACACUUUUUCUGUGAAGGUUAUUGUUGGCAUGGAGCGCUGACUCUAGUUCGUUAUAAUUAGAGUUUGUGUUAGUUUGUCUUAGUACAUGGAUACUUGGAUAGUACCCAUAUGGUAUUGUAGCAACGAGCACUAUUGGAUUGGGCCCCCUGCUACAGGUUAGGAAUUAGAGACAAAAACAAGUAGUUUCCUUAUAAAUUAGAUUGAUAUGGUUCCUUGAUAUUACAUAUAAUUACCACCUUUUUUGACAAAUGGGUCCUUUUCAAAAACUUAUUUUAAAACCAGACCAUGGCAAAAACUUCACAAAAAUAGGCCAUCGGCUCAGCGCCAGCCAUGCACUUUGACGCUGACCCCCCUACCCACAUGGCGGCCGAGCCGAUUCCCCUCGCCGGCGUGGCAAUACUCAGCGCCAGCGCCAACCGAAAUGGUGCUGAACCGUCUAACCUCAGCGCCAAUGGGGGUUGGCGCUGAGCUAGGCUACUAAGGCCAAUGCGGCCGCCCCACCCACCAUCUCUCUUCUUCCUCUCCUUUCCUUCUCUCCCCUAGGGCUGCUGCCAUGUAGUGCAACAUCGUUGACGACAACCAUCUUGGAGCCAUUGCAUAUCUCAAUGCCAAAGGGCUCAUGCUGUGAGGACGUCGAUGGGGCCAGCCAAGCCACUGCCAUUGCUCUUUGCCUAGUCAAGGAAGUUGGCCUAGCUGCUGUUUGGGGCUGUUGAAUCAACGUUGAGGACAACCACAACACCACCGAUGGAAUGGCUUGUCGACAACCAUGCGUUUUUCUGAAGUUGCAACCAUGGCCACCCCCUGCAGCUCGAGGAUGAGUUGCCCAAAAGGAGGGAUAAGAUAUUAUGGGCGUGGAGCAGCUCCAUUUAGUUAUAAUUAGGGUAUGUCAGAUACAAAAAAAAAACCAUGGUAUUACAGUGCUGAGCACUAUUUGCAUGGGCCUCCUGUUGUGCAGGUUAGGAACCAGAUGUAAGAAUAAGUAAUUCCUUAUAGAUUAAAUUGGUUUGGUUCCUUAAUAUUAGAGAAAGGUAUUUUAGAGGUCAAGUUAUUCCUCUCCAUGGGAUUGUAUCUCUUUUGAUUAAGCAAGAAACAAAAAAUAGUUCCCUCCUCCACGGCCGCAGCUCUCUCUAGACCCCCGCAAACCUUAGACAAAACAACAUCCACUCUAUACUAACUGUCAGUCAUGAUAUCAUCUUUUACUGUUGCACUGUUUAAUCUACUUGUUUAAAUACUAUAUGAGAUCAAAUUUAUCAUAGUAAGAGUAAUUUUACUUUGUUAGUUAUAUUCUAAUUUAAUUUAUUCAUUUUCUAUUGAAUAGAUAUUAGAAUGGAACUACAACAGUGAGCAUAUGAUCAGAGGUUUGAUAAUUGACAAGAAAAAGGGAAAUAUAAUCAAGGUUAGCAAAACAAGUGAACUUUUUUUGUAUACAAACAAAAUAGACAAUGGUUAAUUGACUCUAUCCACCUUUUUUGUGAUUGAACAUUAGGUGGACCACUAUAAUAAUGUAAAAAUGUCAUACCAUGGCAUGAAUGAGAUGCCAUAUGAGGAAUCAAAAAAUGUUUAUGGAUCUACAUUUAUGUUUGAAGAACCUGAGUUUGCUGCCAUGGAUACAACUUUCUCUUGUUGUGAAGGAUAUCUAUUUGCCCAACUCGUUGAUUUGAUGGAUACCAAUCCUCAAGAAGUGCCAGCGCCUACGUAUGAUUUUGACCAAACAUUAUUUAUAUAGUGAAAGCAUUUCAAUUUUCAUUAACAUUAUUUCAAUGUGAUAUUUGAUGAUGCAGCUACAUGACUUUAUACAAACAUCUCAGGGAAGCCUUUGAUCAGGGCUAUAAAGAUGGAACUCUUAAACAAUCUGUGGCCAAUGACCUUGCUAGGUAUGAGUAGCAAUUUUCAGUCAUAUGAUUGGUAUAAUUCAAAUAGUGCUAGAUGUGGUACAUGUAAGAAAUUAUGAUCUAAGAAUGAACAAGUCUAUGCCAAUUUCUUUACUAUCCUAAAUAGCACGACCUUUUAAUUUUUGUUUGAUUAAAAGGAGAUAACUUGGGCUGCUAUAUAUAGUUGUCAUCUUCGGCUACAAUCUAUAUCUAGCCCAUCUCUAAGAAACAAGACAAACAAAUAACCAGCCCUAUAAACGCAUCCUUGGCUACAGUUUAUAUCUAGCCCAUCUCUUAACAAGCAGCCAAACAAAUAACCAAUCCUUUUAUAGACUAAUCAAUUUUCUCCUGAUCUGUUAACUAAGUUACGUGGAAAGCACAAAUAUUGAAAUUCUCUUCAUUGCCCCUAUAGAGCACACUUAUGACAUGGGCUCGAUCUGUCAUUGAUUUGCUACUUGAAUAUAUUUCGCAUGUUAUCCAUGGCACUAAUUUUUGUAGUUUGAAACUGACAGGUACAUCGAUAAAGAUCCAUCACUUCUUCCAAUGCUUCAGAACAUUAAGAACAAAGGAAUCUCCACGUUCUUAAUAACAGAUAGGUAUGUGGUUUAUGCAUUUUCAAAAUUAUACCACUGUGAUCGUUGGUUAUCCCUUUAGUGCAGAAUUGAACUACUUCAAUGUUAGGGAAGCUUUAGGUAUGGAUUUAGCAAGAGAGAUAGGUUUUGGGGCUAUGAUGAGCUACAGCUAGCUGAUUCAUCUUCUCAUUUAUAGCUGAAAGACAAAGAUACACAACAUCCUAGUGGCUUGCUUAUAACUAAGACUCUUCACUUGACCCACUGACUUGUAGCCUAAGACUUUGACUCACUAGCUUACUCCCUAAGGAAAGCUAUUCCCAAAGGAAAAGACCUGACUUAUUAACUCAAACUAACUACAACAAGGAUUAUACUAACAAAGUUUUCAGUUCUUCUCAUUCCACUUAUUUUGUUUUAAGUGCUAUGUCUUGAUAUUCAACAUAUGUGCCUGCUUUUGUAGUUUGUGGGAUUAUACUGACAUUGUUAUGGAUUAUGCGCUACAUCAAGAUAAAGUGAACAAACACAGCUGGCUUCAAUAUUUUGACAUUGUCUUUACAGGAAGGUUUGGUGAUGUCUAUUUCACUUCUCUACUUCAAGUUACUCACAUAUUUUGUUUAUAUUUAUUUAGAAAAAUUUUUGCUUGCAGCCGAAGCUUUUUUAGUGAAGAAAGCCACGUGGAGCUGUUCGACGUGGAGAUUGAAACCGGGAAAAUUUCAAAUCCUAAAGAAUAUCAGGUAAACAAAGUGAUAUUAAAUAAUCAUCAAGAUGGCUCUAUUCUCUUGUGUGUGUAAUCCAUGUGAUUCUUACGUAGUUGGGGAGAUCGAAAACAAAUCAAGCACCUAAGGAGAUCCAGAAAGUAUAUCAGGUACCCUCUGUUCUCCCAUUCGAAUGUAUGUAAUAAUCCUUAUCAUAAUUAUUAACUAGAUAGAUUGUAAUUUAAUGCCAUUAAUGCCAUGUACAGUCAAUGUCCACAUGACUCAGACUCCCCAUAAUUCUCCCACACAUACACACUCGUAUCGAGUAACACCGCCAAGGGCAGUGUACAUGCAUGCAAAACCACCUCCCGUAAAGUCCAAGGAUGAAAAAUGUUUAGUUUGGAUUGUCGAGGGAUGGAAUGAUCGGUUUCGACUGGUAUGACAAUUGAGGGACGAAACUAAACCAUUGCAAGAGUCAAGGGUCGAAAGUAGACUUUUUCCUCCUAGAUAAGAGCAUCAAGUUAGUGAAAUGCUGCAUAAAGUGUACAUAUAGUGAUAUUGUGGUGGCUAUAGAUAAACAAAGGAGGGGUAAAUGAAGCUACACUACAAUUAUGAGGAUAAGAACCCUGCCAUUUAUUAAGGACAAUUAAUAUGACCGGUUGCAUGCACAACAAUAGUAGGUCAGGGAAGUCAGCAGCACAUCAGCCUCGCUUUUCAGUGGAGGCAUAUUAUAAGACUAAUCAGGUAGCUGUAGUUUAUUAGGUAAAGCAGGCUAGAUUUUGCAUGCUCAUAUUUGAUUAAAACCGUAGGACUAAUCAGGUAGCUAUAGUUUAUUAGGUAGAACAGGCUAGAUUUUUGCAUGCUCAUAUUUGAUUAAAACUGUAGGACUUGCAUAUACUCCCAAAUAAAAAGGAAAGGAGAGAACAGAGAAAGAAACCUCAAGAAAUCAGACAAAAGCAUUCCAAUUGUAAAUGACCUUGAGCUUACCCGAGCACUCUGAUACCUGGUAACAAAGAAUGCACAGAAAAUGUUAGUUAUGAAGCCAUUGUUCUGUUACAAACUCUGAGACGAACCCAAAAAAAAAACAGUUGCAGCUAAACAAACCAUGGGCCACAUUUCAUGUCACUUUUGUUCCGUACCAAAUUCUUGUCUUGUUAGCAUAAUAGAUUCAUCCUGAAUUCAUUUACCCAUCAUGGUACUGUAAUUAUCACCAAAUUUAGUCCAAAAUAAGCCACAUACUAUGCAUUACGAGAAUAACAUCUUAUAACUUUAUUACAAUUGCAACUUAGUAAGCUAUUGUUUAUUUUGAGGCACUUUUCGGUUUUUUCAGGGAGGAGAUGUUGGACAUCUUCAAAGAUUAUUACCUAAUACCAAUGACCCCAAGCAGGUAUCAUCUUUGCCCUAUCACAAAAUUCAAUUUACUUUAGAUAUAGUUGGUAUACAUAGAGUUUUUCUUUUUCAUUUGAUGAUAUUUAGGAAUGUUUUCUUACAAACAGUCUAACAAUGCAAAAUUCUUCACGAUUAUAUAUAGGUUCUGUAUGUGACACAUCAUAUUACCAAAGAGAUGCUCAACAACAAGGCCCAAGGUAUGUGCUAUUCACUUGCUAUUUUUAGGUGACCUAGAAUAUGGUGGAUGUUAUAAACUUGACUGAAUAUAAUAGUUUGGGUCUGUUAGAGGAAGGGAUUAUUAUACUAUCAUACAUCAUCAUGGAAAAUCAUGAUGAAUGGGUGCCGACUCUAGCUGGCACCAAAACAGCCACAAUACAUGCAUCUGGGAAUGAUCAAGCACAAGGUGGUACCCAGGCGUAUAAUUGUACUUUUGUAGCAAUAUCCCAAAUUAUCCUCUCCUGUUUUAACUCUAAAAAUAGGAGCCAGUGAACAUAGCUUUACGAGUUAUAUACAUAAAGAGUACUCAGCAAAAUCAAGUGACAACCAUCAUUUUCCUUAACACUUGAUGUGCAUCCAGCACAACGAAAACUGGAAGAAAUUUUAUAUGCUUGAAGAUAACGAUAUAAUGUGUUUUGUUUUUAUUCCAUUAGUCUGGAUUUUUCCAUUUAUAUUAUUUCAGUAAUAAUUGGUCGUGCUGCAUUUUGUAAGGUUGGAAGACUAUGCAAAUUAUACCUGAGCUGGAAAAGGAAUUGCAAAUUAUCAGAGAACAGGGGUCAAUUCGACAGGUAUUCUUUUUCUAAAAAAAAUAAACACAAAAUUGCUACAAUGUUUCGGACAGAUGGUUAGCCCAUUUCCCCUCUCAAAGUGGAGAUCAGUACAUGUUCUGAUGUUUUUUGCGUGAAAACUUAAAAGACAUUCUCUCCUACUGAGUGGUUCUCAAUAUGCUUACAUGCUACAAUGAUUAAGGGUGAUUCAGAUGGUAACAUGAAAAAUAUAUUGAAUAAAAUGUCUAACCAAUAUUUAAUGUCUUCUCUAUUUAUUGUUCAUUUAUGGAUUAUCUAGAGUAGCAUGCAAUCAUUCUGUUUGUUAGCUUCUGCUUAAUUGCUUAUGGCUUGUUCUUUCCAAUUUGGACUCUCCAACACAGAUUAUUAUUCGUGCCAGAGUGAAAUCAAAUAGUGUAGAAGAUAAAAUCUGUAUGCUCAGAAGCACCACUGAGUAAGACAAUAGUGUUGUUCAUUCUACUUUCUUCCUAUUCAAUAUUUUUUCUCUCUCGAAUGAUUUUGCAGCAAAUAAGUAAUUGUGUUUUUAUUUUGGACAGGGUUGAUGUAAUGGAGAAAAUAAACAAACUGACCAGUGAGAAGAAAGAAGGGAAUGGACAGCGAACGUGAAACUGCUGAAAAGAGGCUAGCUUCAAAGGUAACUUUGCACACUUAUUUCAACCAUCUGCGACGCUAUGGUAGUUAAUUUAGGAAUUAGUAUCAGCUAACAGCAGAUUGUUUUGUUUUAUUUCAGUUUAAUGAUAAAUGGGGUCCAGUUAUGAAGGCUGGGAAUAAGAAUUCCCGAUUUGCUCGCGAGGUGGCAUUUAAUUUGUUGAGAUUUUGUUUUGAGGUGUUAUACAACAGUUACCAUUAGCAGUUGACAGUUUCUCUUUUGGCUUUAUUCCGUUUUCGCAGGUAGAAAGAUCAGCAUGGUUAUAUACCAGCAGGGCGUCAAACUUGGCUGCUGAGAGAUGUUAUGAACAAUCAGACCAGUUGAUGGCACAUGACUCCGAUUUGUUGAGCUUCCAUUUGGGCAAGGACUGAAGCAGUUUAUAGCCAAACUAGGUCGAUCUAGCUUCCUUGUAGGCAAGGACUGAUGCAGUUUAUAGCCAAAAAAAUGGGAUCAACCCAACCCAUCCCGGUUCUUUUUUUUUGGGGGACAAAAAGAAAAGGAAGUGAUAAUAGCCAAACUAGGUCGAUCUAGCUUCCUUGUAGGCUAGCUAAAUGGAUGAUACUAGUUGUGAUCUAAACGUUAAUACAACGAAAGUCCCAAGGCCCAAAUUUUGGAUUUGCAAGUUUUUGGUUCCAUACAUACCUGGAUCGGAAAAGAUCCACUGGAUCUGGAGCACCCUUCUCAAUGCCUGUCUUCAACUCCUUCCCCGCUCACGCUCAGACUGCUUCGCAAAGGUCGAAGGAGGCUUGAUCCGCCGCAAACAGCGCCGGUUAAGCAAUCCCCACCCAAACCACGACCACACACAUCGACGGGGCGCAGAUCGAGCGAUGAUGAAAGAACCUCGACCCCACGUUAAUUCGGGGGCGAAGCCGGGGAAUUCAACUAUUCGCCGCUACUAGGUUGGGAAAGCAGUAGGUUCGUCAAUUGUCCAAAUAACCCUCUAUCUGCCUUUAUUUUUUUCCGCUCUAGGACGGUGGUUUCUUAACUAUUUACCACUUUUACUCACGUGGCAUGCUAACAUGGCAAACCAGUGUAAAAAUCGAUGUAGG